rnacentral:rRNA from 1 species
UGAGCCGGGCAUUCGCCCGGUCGAAUCGUGGAAACUCGUGGACGCCGUCACGGCACGAAGCGAGCGAAACGCGAAAUAGCGAAAGUCAGCCGUACAUAGGGCCCGUGAAAAGGCAAGCAUGAUGUCCGUACCGAGAUCCGACACAGGUGCUCUGCCAGCGCAAGGCAAGGCCUGUCGGGAGAACCGACGUUAGGGAAUUCGGCAAGUUAGUCCCGUACCUUCGGAAGAAGGGAUGCCUGCUCUCGACGGAGCAGGUCGCAGUGACUCGGGCGCUCCGACUGUCUAGUAACAACACAGGUGACCGCAAAUCCGNAAGGACUCGUACGGUCACUGAAUCCUGCCCAGUGCGGGUAUCUGAACACCUCGUACAAGAGGACGAAGGACCCGUCAACGGCGGGGGUAACUAUGACCCUCUUAAGGUAGCGUAGUACCUUGCCGCUUCAGUAGCGGCUUGCAUGAAUGGAUAAACGAGAGCGCCACUGUCCCAACGUUGGACCCGGUGAACUGUACGUUCCAGUGCGGAGUCUGGAGACCCCCAAGGGGAAGCGAAGACCCUAUAGAGCUUUACUGCAGGCUGUCGCUGAGACGUGGUCGCCGAUGUGCAGCAUAGGUAGGAG